rnacentral:tRNA from 1 species
CCGACCUUAGCUCAGUUGGUAGAGUGGAGGAUUGUAGAUCCUUAGGUCACUGGUUCGAAUCCGGCAGGUUGGA